GCUGUGGGAGUGUAAUCUGACAGAGGAAAGCUGUAGAGUUCUGUCCUCAGUUCUCAGCUCAAACUCCUCCAGACUGAGAGAACUGGACCUGAGUAACAAUAAACUGCAGGAUUCAGGAGUGAAGCUGCUCUCUGCUGGACUGGAGAAUCCACACUGUACACUGGAGACACUGAACAUUAACUAUAAUAAACUCACCAGGACUGGCGUAUGACAGGAGUCUCACCUCAAACCUCUUCUCCAGGAUAAAGCAGUUUUGGUGAAGAGUUAGAACCCGUCCCACAUUUCCAGCAGUUUGGGAGCUGAAUCAUUAAACUUAAAGGGACAGAGCAGAAACAAAGUCAAGAACAGGCAGAAGGUCAUACACAGGAGAAAUCAACACACGUAACGAAAUAUCUGCUGUACAAAGCAACGGCAACGAUCUACCCUGGGGAUGGAGACUGACGAUGCUCAAGUACAUGUCUGGUCACAGACUGAUCCCAAAGCACGAGGCAGGAGCAGGCAUGUUAAUGGUAAAUGGUCUGCAGUUAUAUAGCACUUUUUUAACCUUAGUGGUUCCAAAGCACUUUACACU
ensembl:lncRNA